rnacentral:ncRNA from 2 species
GUCCGCAACUCUGGAGAGCGGCAGUAGAACGGCGGCGGAUCACCCCGCGCGUUCAGGCUGCCCACCGAAGGGGCGCGCGCCGUCAAGCAUCAUUAGCCCGGCGCAAUCUCUCAGGUAUCGAGGACAGAGGGGCCAUG